rnacentral:lncRNA from 1 species
CUAUAAAUAAUAUAAUUCUAACCACCAAAUUUAUACCUCAAGUUGAAAGGAAGGGUAUGUCCGACAUUAAUGAAUCAGAUCAUCAAUAAUGAUCAUCAUUCACCUAAGGAAAAACAACAAUAACAAUAAUAAUAAUAAUGAGAAUAUCUUGUCUGAAAAAUUAACCGCACUACCUGAGAUUUUAAAGUGCUUAAUGCAUGAAUAGGAUUUGUCUUUUGGAAGGAAGUGAAGACACAAGCAGACACAGGCUGCAUCGAAACGACAAAACCAAACAAAAUUGACUGAAGCCGAUUUAUGUGACAAGGUUGCCUGGCACCUUUGCUUGCUUUAAAUAGGCCACUGUGCUCUUAAUUUGAGUCUACGAUAUUUGACAAAUGGACACUGCACAUCUUAUGAAGUGAAACUGGUCGGCCGAUACGAAGCUUACAACUCAAUACCGUUACUUUUUCUAUUUACUAUUUUAGUCCCUUUUUUUUUUUUUUUGUCGAAUUUGUUUUGGAUUUUACUUGAAAAGAACAUGAGAUGAGACCUGAGGAUGACCCACUACCACGCUGAAAAUGUUUACCCUGAUUUUUUUAGGACGCCGUGAUGAUUCUCACACACAUUAUAUGUGCGCAUUAUACUUGGUGAGUAAUUAUUUAAGCUACUACGCUUGGUGUGUAUAAUUAGAUUAGACUAAUCAUUAAGAUUGAAUUAGAUUACAUUCAAUUAAAUUAUAUUGGAUUAUAUAAUACUGUUUUAUAUUUAGUAUAAUAUGGAAUUGAACUAUGCUACAUUAUAUUUGAAUGAAAUUAAAUAGCAUUUAAGUUGACAUUUAAAUAUAAAUAUGAACUAUAUAUU